rnacentral:rRNA from 1 species
AUUGAACGCUGGCGGCAUGCCUUACACAUGCAAGUCGAACGGCAGCACGGACUUCGGUCUGGUGGCGAGUGGCGAACGGGUGAGUAAUAUAUCGGAACAUACCUUGUAGUGGGGGAUAACUAUCCGAAAGGAUAGCUAAUACCGCAUGAGAUCUAAGGAUGAGAGCGGGGGAUCUUCGGACCUCGUGCUAUAAGAGUGGCCGAUAUCUGAUUAGCUGGUUGGUGAGGUAAAGGCUCACCAAGGCGACGAUCAGUAGCUGGUCUGAAAGGACGACCAGCCACACUGGAACUGAGACACGGUCCAGACUCCUACGGGAGGCAGCAGUGGGGAAUUUUGGACAAUGGGGGCAACCCUGAUCCAGCAAUGCCGCGUGAGUGAAGAAGGCCUUCGGGUUGUAAAGCUCUUUUGUCAGGGAAGAAACGGUUGUGGCUAAUAUCCAUGGCUAAUGACGGUACCUGAAGAAUAAGCACCGGCUAACUACGUGCCAGCCGCCGCCGUGAAAC